AGCUAGAAUCACAUCCUGACACGGCUUUCGUCGUGGUGUGCUAGAGCCCUCCAAGGGAUCUGCUGGGCUUGAGUCACUGGCAGAACCAGUUAGUACCCAGGUCACAAACAUCC
ensembl:snoRNA